rnacentral:tRNA from 14 species
UCGUGUCUGCCGUGCCAAGACCGGACUUCAAAUCCGUC